CAUUUACAUAAGUAUUCCCUGAGUCAAUACAUGUUAGAAUCACCAUUGUCAGCGAUUACAGUCUUUCUGAGUAAGUCUCAAAGAGCUUUGCACACCUGGAUUUCCACAUUAUUUUUAAAAUACUUAAAGCUCUGUCAAAUUGGUUGUUGAUCAUUCCGCUCCAGCUAUUACCACGAGCCGUCCUCCCCAAUUAAGAUUCAACUAACCUCCUGUGAUUGUAAUUCAAUGGAAAAUGGAACAUUUAGGCUGUAUGCUCAUAUAGUUUUUUCUUCUUUAUCAACAUCUGUUCUCUAUCUUGUAGGUGAUGGUGUAUAAUACUGUGGCAACCGUUCUGUACCUCACAGCGUUUCUGGCCAAUGCUGCAUCAGUCAUGCCUGACCGUUACCGCCAUAUGGCAGCUGCUAAGAGCCAGCACCUUCUUUUA
rnacentral:lncRNA from 8 species